rnacentral:rRNA from 1 species
GAUGAACGCUGGCGGCGUGCCUAAUACAUGCAAGUCGAGCGAACGGACGAGAAGCUUGCUUCUCUGAUGUUAGCGGCGGACGGGUGAUUAACACGUGGAUAACCUACCUAUAAGACUGGGAUAACUUCGGGAAACCGUAGCUAAUACCGGAUAAUAUUUUGAACCGCAUGGUUCAAAAGUGAAAGACGGUCUUGCUGUCACUUAUAGAUGGAUCCGCGCUGCAUUAGCUAGUUGGUAAGGUAACGGCUUACCAAGGCAACGAUGCAUAGCCGACCUGAGAGGGUGAUCGGCCACACUGGAACUGAGACACGGUCCAGACUCCUACGGGAGGCAGCAGUAGGGAAUCUUCCGCAAUGGGCGAAAGCCUGACGGAGCAACGCCGCGUGAGUGAUGAAGGUCUUCGGAUCGUAAAACUCUGUUAUUAGGGAAGAACAUAUGUGUAAGUAACUGUGCACAUCUUGACGGUACCUAAUCAGAAAGCCACGGCUAACUACGUG